rnacentral:rRNA from 1 species
AGAGCGAACGCUGGCGGCAGGCUUAACACAUGCAAGUCGAGCGGGCGUAGCAAUACGUCAGCGGCAGACGGGUGAGUAACGCGUGGGAACGUACCUUUUGGUUCGGAACAACACAGGGAAACUUGUGCUAAUACCGGAUAAGCCCUUACGGGGAAAGAUUUAUCGCCAAAAGAUCGGCCCGCGUCUGAUUAGCUAGUUGGUGAGGUAACGGCUCACCAAGGCGACGAUCAGUAGCUGGUCUGAGAGGAUGAUCAGCCACAUUGGGACUGAGACACGGCCCAAACUCCUACGGGAGGCAGCAGUGGGGAAUAUUGGACAAUGGGCGCAAGCCUGAUCCAGCCAUGCCGCGUGAGUGAUGAGGGCCCUAGGGUUGUAAAGCUCUUUUGUGCGGGAAGAUAAUGACGGUACCGCAAGAAUAAGCCCCGGCUAACUUCGCGCCAGCAGCCGC